UGACACUGGGCUAAGAACGAUAUGGUGAUUUCAUAUGCGCACAUGGUGUUCACUGAAAUGCCUGCAAGGUUGAGUGACUUCUCCGCCAAUGAUUACUUAAGCAUGUCGAUUGCGAUCUCCUUUCAUGUGCCAGUAGAUGAGGGGUGGCUGCAUAUGUGCAACUUUACUUUCUUUUUGGGGCACGCAUGAUGAAUUUGACAUAUAGCUGUCCUUUUUUAAGUCGACGAAGAAUGCAGUAUGUCAUCUUUCAGGUUUCCUGGGUAGGUAAGAUCAACGAGUGUAAAUGGCGUAGUAUAAAUAAUAGGGGUGUAGGUUUUUGUCAGAUGGUCAUCAGCCUAAAAUGUGUACAUGUAAGUUGCUCACGUAUCUUAUAUGUAGAUAUUGGCCCUCUGAUCAAUGGUUUAUGCGGUUAUUUGAUUUACCUAUUGAUCUAGACUGUAGUUUUAGUGAUAAAUUUAUAAUUAUUCUCUAGAAAAAAUGAUUAGUUCUUACUUGAGUUGAAGGUAUCUCUAAGAUUUCAUAUGUUGUUCGGAUGAGCCAUUGUAUAUUAUCCUAUUUGAGACAAAUAGAUUCAAAAUUGUCAUGUGUAGUGCACUUUCGUUAAGAAAGAGUCCAGGAGAUACUGAACUUUUUUUAUAGUAUACAUAGUCGUUACAUUAACUUAGUAUGGCUGAGAUAGGUUACUAUACAGAUAAAUAAUCAAUAUCAUGAUAAGUGAGUUCUACUUGAACAGUGUGUUAUCAUAGCUUUCUAAGAAAUAAAUUAUAAAGCUUUGUUUCGAGAGUUCAAUGGUCAAUCGAAGCUAAACAGAGAAUUAGAAGCCUGGUAGUUGGCAUUAAGAAUACAAUAUUUUCUUGGAAAUUCAUAUCUAGGAUAAAAUUUCGUCUUGGUAACUAUUGCAUAUUUUUUCCACCUUACCUUUGCAAUUGCGCCCAAAAAAAUUUGUAGACUGAGCUGAGUACUCACACCAAGAUUCCGUUGGUUAGUCAUGGUAGCUCUGCCAUGACACUGUAGUGGUAUUGUAUUGAUUCUUGAACUCCUGAUGUGGUCAUGCAUACAAUAAUCUAGCAAAAGAAAAUUUCCGUGAUUCAAAGCUAUCUAAAGGUGUUACACCAAGAUAAUCCACCUUCCAGAUUAGUUGUUAAUUAUUUCUCACAUUCGACAUGAGUGUAUGAGACAUAAGGAGUAUAUUAUUCAAAUUUUAGCAAAUCUGAACUCUUUUUUGUGAAAACAUGAACUCUUUCGUGUCAGCAUCUAGAUGCAUGAAAGAAGGUGCAACAGCUAAAUGCAUCAACGCAUUGUCUGUAAGGCUCUAAGGUUAGGUUAACUUUUUUUCUUUUGCUCAUACACCAAGCUUCUUCAGUUCAGCUAAUAUACGGUUUUUAAUUUGCGAUGUCUGGGAGUUUGUAGUUUCUGGUGCAUACUCUAGAUUUAUGAUUUAUUUAACCACAUUUUUUUAUGUCUGUGAUGGGAGUUUGUAGUUUCUGGUGCAUACUCCUGGAUUUUGAUUUAUUUAACCAGAUUUUUUUGAAAGAAAAUUAUGUGACCAGAUGGUAUAUAACAGUUCCUUUUUCUUAAAGUUGUUGCUAUUAGAGAAACGUAAGAAUUUGACCACUAAGUUUACUAAUCGAUGUGAUGUAGUACAUGAUACAGGAUCUGGGUUUUUUUCCUCUCGACUUUGGAUCUUAGCACCCAAUUAGUCUAUCUGUACUAAGGAUGACGGCUUAUAUUCAGAGUUUUCCUAGGAUUGGUAAAACACGCACAUUAUAAAAAACAUAACCCACCAUAGAGAGUGGCAGAAGUGCCAGCAAAUUCAAAAAAGGGCCAAUGGGUACAGUCAUCGCUGUAGUAGGAGCUCUGGAACCCAAUGAUAUCAUGGUACGGUGCACAAACUUGCAGAUAAUAUUUCAACUAACUAUUUCGUGUUCUAAUGCCUACAAGAUUUCUUUUAUUUAGACAUGUUAGACUAAUCUGCAGGUAGUGUUUUCUAUUUAGAAAUUGCAGCUGUGACCAAAUCAUCUAGAUAGGUAUUGUAGAUAUAGAUCUUUUUUUGUAAUAACAUAUUUGGUCUUUGCCUUUUCAUAAUAUGAGUUUUUUUUUGUCCAGGAAGAUUGAAAGUAACAUGAAAAUUCUUCAUGUAUUUUAGUCUGCAGAACAACAUAGACGUGCGAGGAAUAUAUAGCUUAGAGUUUUGAAGACAAUGGAAAGGGCUCCUGAUCGCUUUAUUUUUCCCCCCCUGAAAGGGCUUAUUUUCUGAGUUUCGGUUCAGAUUCUGAGAUUGACAUAUUUGGUCUCAUAAAUGAGCUAUGUCAAAUUCAUCCAAAGUUCCCUAGAAUUGUUUAAAACAAGCCUCGGAGAAAGUCUCGAAGUAUCAGCGGAAGCAAGAAAGCACAAAUUGCAACAAGCUAUAAGGGGCCUGAGGGUUAUCUCAUUUUAUUUUAGUAGGGAAUGGUUCUUCACAUUAUCUGGAUGUGCUGCAUAAGCAAUAGUUUCCAUCUUUUAUUUUGGGUCCAUGGAUGCGUAGUUGUCUGUGGAAUUUUUCAUGACUUCUGAACAUUACAAGUUUCAACUGUGCUGAACUUCUCUACUUACAACUCUUGUGCCUUUUCGGCCAUAUGAUCUCGAUUGUGCGGUUGCAUCCAUCCAAGAAACAAAUUGGGCAGGAAGGUUGAUGGUCUUGACCUGAACCUUUACCGACAAGCUUUGAUCAUCUGACGACAACAUGAAGCAAGACUACUAAGAUCCAGGACGACAUGAUCCGAAGUUGUGGGACGAUCUUUCAUGGUCAGACGGCAACAUGAAGCUAGACUAUUCAGUCUCAACCUGGCAAUGCUCAGUGUUAUAUCGAGGUAUUGGCCAGGAAGCCGUGGACAGCUGAGGGAUGUACAACGUGCGAUUCGAAUGACCCAACUGGACACGUAUCAGACUCUACAUAGCCUUGCGUAGGCGUUUUUUGCUUCAGUUCUUUUUCUUUUCUUUUUGCUGUUACUUUGAGAGUUGGAUUUGCACUACUUCAGUUCUUUCAUCAGAAAAAAAAAAGAUAUGUCCAUCAUUUGCGGACAAUAAAAGUUCUGCCAAUUUCCAUUCACUCCACUAUUAGAUACACAGCAAUAAUAUCCUAGAGGACACAAGUGCUAAAUGCAAAAAAAAAAAAACUUUAUGUCAGUCACAGAAACAUGAUUCAGUACAACAGUGGUGUGUAAACAUGGACUGGUAUAGUCUGUUAUUCUAUAAAUGAUUGAAAUAGAGUUAGUUACAGAAUUCAUUAUUA